rnacentral:lncRNA from 1 species
AACUUCAGCGCCCCGGGGGGUGGGGGGCGCAAGGUGCGCGGCCCGCGGCUCCGCCGAGAAGCCCACGCGCCCACCUGCCGGCCCCGGGGUGGCCUCUCCCGCAGCCCCCGUCGCCCGGACCCGCUGCCCGGGGCGGCUCGGCGUGGGCGCUCGCGGCCCUCGGUCACGACGCGGUGCACGCGGGGCAGACGGCGCCGCCGCCCGCGCGGGCGGAGGAGAGAGGCCGGGCCGGGGGGAGGGGAGGAGGGGGACGGGGAAGUAGGCACACAAUGGUCCCGGGAGGUUAUUCCCGGGCCAAAAAGCACCUGGCACAGCGCGCCGGGGUCAGCCGCUUCCAGUCUCCACGUUUCUGACAAUGGCUUCCCGGGGAAAAGAAGAAAAAAAAAAAAGAAAAAAAGAAAAAAUCCCCGCCCCCCCGCCCGCCCUGCACGGUCCUGGGGCGGCCGGCCAGCAGCGGCGCGGCGAGCGGAGCGGCGGUCCCCGCAGUCCCAAGUACUUUCCCUUCCGUCUCCCCCAGCGCCGCGCGGGGGCCCCCGAUGCCCGGGAGCGCAGGGUCCCCCCCCCCCCGCCCCGGCCGCCCGGACGGACAAAGGGUCGCGGAGGUGGAAGCGCCCCGCGCCCCGCCCCGCCCGCGCCAACUCUGGGGCGCGUCUGUGCCCCGCGCGCGCCCCUCCCCGCGCCCUCCCCGCGCCCCCCGCGCGCCCCCCCGCGCGCUCCGGGCCGGGCCCCCGGCGCCCUCCCCGCGCCCCCCGCGCGCCUCACCUGCCGAGAACUGGCCGCGGGCCGACCCCAGGGGGGACCAGGGCGCCGCGAGCGAGAGCGCCGCGAGGACGGGCAGCGCCGCCGCCGCAUCCAUGUCGACUUUGGGAGAAGUUUGAAGCCGCUCGGCCAGGCGCGGCGGGGCCCCGGGGAGCCCUCCGCCCGCCGCCCGCCGCCCGUCGGUGCCGGUGCCGGUGCCGGUGCCGAUGCCGGAGCCCGCCGCCCGCCCGACUAGCCCCGGGGCGCCCGCGUCGCCGGCCGGCCGCGGCGGCAGCUCUCCAUGCUCGGCGGAGGCGGCUCCCGGGAGCCAGGAGUUACUUUGCUCGGGGAGGGACGGGGGCGGAGCCGGGGGUGACGUCGGCCCGCGGGCCCCGGGAGCUCGGGAGGAAUGCGGGCGGGCGCGGCGCCGGCCUCCCCCUCCCGCCUCGCCCCUGCGCCCCCCGCGCGCCCCCCCCCCGCGCGCCCCCCCGCGCCCCCGCCGCCGCCUUUGUUCCCCGCGGCUCGCGGCGGCCCCGCUCCGCGAAUCCGGGCGCCGCACGCGGGGCCCGGGGAGCCGAGGGGCCGGACCUCCGAGGCCGAGCGCGGACAAAGCCCGGCGCCCGCGCGGCGGCCUGGCCUCGGGUCCCCGCGCCCCGCAGCCGCAGCCGCAGCCGCAGCCCCCGCGCCCCCGGGGGCGCCUCUCGGCUCCUCGGCCACCCGCGGGGCCGGGACACCCACCCCGGAGGCCGCCCGUGGGUCCCCAUCCCGGAGAAAUAA